rnacentral:lncRNA from 1 species
CGAAAAAGCUUCCUUCUGCAGCUUCCUCUGCGCCUUUCCUUUCUGGGUUUGCACCGCCCCCUUUCUUCCCAUCCCCCUCUCGUGAUUUCAUGGCCUCUGAGUUGGAAGAGAGAGACAAACAGAAACCCAAACCUAAAAUUUUCUGUAGGGAUUCUGAAUUCGCUAGCCCUUAAACAUUCGAUGGAAAUCAGAAGAAACAUACGCUGUCUUCACCGGGUGUCUGGCAUCAUUCAUUUCAACAGCCAUUGUAUCUUUUCUUCUGGAAGACAUCAUACUGUGGCUUGCUGACUUCUAUCCCAAUUACUAUUGUUCUGUAAUGCAGCGUGCCUGCCACCUGGGGUUGUCGGGCAUGAUCUCCCUGCUUACCC